AACGAACGCUGGCGGCAGGCUUAACACAUGCAAGUCGAACGCCCCGCAAGGGGAGUGGCAGACGGGUGAGUAACGCGUGGGAACAUACCCUUUUCUACGGAAUAGCUCUGGGAAACUGGAAUUAAUACCGUAUACGCCCUACGGGGGAAAGAUUUAUCGGGGAAGGAUUGGCCCGCGUUGGAUUAGCUAGUUGGUGGGGUAAAGGCUUACCAAGGCGACGAUCCAUAGCUGGGCUGAGAGGAUGAUCAGCCACAUUGGGGCUGAGACGCGGCCCAAACUCCUACGGGAGGCAGCAGUGGGGAAUAUUGGACAAUGGGCGCAAGCCUGAUCCAGCCAUGCCGCGUGAGUGAUGAAGGCCUUAGGGUUGUAAAGCUCUUUCACCGAUGAAGAUAAUGACGGUAGUCGGAGAAGAAGCCCCGGCUAACUUCGUGCCAGCAGCCGCGGUAACAC
rnacentral:rRNA from 1 species